rnacentral:rRNA from 1 species
ACGGAGGGGGCAAGCGUUGUUCGGAAUCACUGGGCGUAAAGCGCACGUAGGCGGACCAAUCAGUUGGGGGUGAAAGCCCGGAGCUCAACUCCGGAACUGCCUUCAAUACUGUUGGUCUUGAGGUCGAGAGAGGUAAGCGGAAUUCCGAGUGUAGAGGUGAAAUUCGUAGAUAUUCGGAAGAACACCAGUGGCGAAGGCGGCUUACUGGCUCGAUACUGACGCUGAGGUGCGAAAGCGUGGGGAGCAAACAGG